GAAGAUUGAAGAAAUUCAGAGGAUAAGGUUAGGGGGAGAAUAAGUUUUGGGGGGGUUUUCUUUAGAUGGAAGAGCUAGCUUCAAGUUUUUUUUUCAAAGUUACUAGUUCGGUUUUUCAUUGGAGGUUGGAAGAUCAGGGAUUGGAGAGGAGCUUCAUGCUUCGGGUCGGGGAAGAAAAGACGGAGAAUUGGAUUUUUCUUCUUCAUAGAGUUUUGGGAAGACUGAGGCAAUCGUUACUGAAGUCAGUGUUGUAAUGGUGAAUCGGGAUUUUUUAAUGAAGUGGGUUUGAUUACUCUUGACUAUUUUGUGAAAUCGAGUUACGUUUGUGAUUGAAGGAUUAAAAGAAUGUCUAUAGGAUUGAGUAUGCGGAGUGAAUGAAAUUUAUUGGGUUAAUCUAACAAGACAGUCAGUGGAUACAAGAUCGUA
rnacentral:lncRNA from 1 species